rnacentral:tRNA from 1 species
GGGGCUAUAGCUCAGUGGCAGAGCGCUUGCCUAGCAUGUGCAAGGCACUGGGUUCAAUCCUUAGCACCA